rnacentral:rRNA from 1 species
UACGUAGGGUGCGAGCGUUAAUCGGAAUUACUGGGCGUAAAGCGUGCGCAGGCGGUUCGUUGUGUCGGCGGUGAAAGCCCCGGGCUCAACCUGGGAAUGGCCGUUGAAACUGGCGAACUGGAGUGUGGCAGAGGGGGGUGGAAUUCCGCGUGUAGCAGUGAAAUGCGUAGAUAUGUGGAGGAACACCGAUGGCGAAGGCAGCCCCCUGGGUCAAAACUGACGCUCAUGCACGAAAGCGUGGGGAGCAAACAGG